AAUAAUUAGUGGGUUUAAAAGGUGAAGAGAUGGUGCGAAUCUGAUUCGAAAUAAAGUUUGGAGUAUCAGCCCAUUUCAUUAUGUGUGUGUUGAUUUCUAGGUAUGCUGUCAUUGAUUUCGGCAAACUCGAAUACGGCUCGAGAACCGCCGACAAGAAGCUGCGGAAAAUGGAGAAAUUAGUCUCCGCCACCUCGUCUUUGCACGCAGCAUUGG
rnacentral:lncRNA from 1 species